CUACGGGUCGCUCCAGUGGGGAAUCUUAGACAAUGGGCGCAAGCCUGAUCUAGCCAUGCCGCGUGAGUGACGAAGGCCUUAGGGUCGUAAAGCUCUUUCGCUAGGGAAGAUAAUGACUGUACCUAGUAAAGAAACCCCGGCUAACUCCGUGCCAGCAGCCGCGGUAAUACGGAGGGGGUUAGCGUUGUUCGGAAUUACUGGGCGUAAAGCGCGCGUAGGCUGAUCAGAAAGUUGGGGGUGAAAUCCCAGGGCGCAACCCUGGAACUGCCUCCAAAACUCCUGGUCUUGAGUUCGAGAGAGGUGAGUGGAAUUCCGAGUGUAGAGGUGAAAUUCGUAGAUAUUCGGAGGAACACCAGUGGCGAAGGCGGCUCACUGGCUCGAUACUGACGCUGAGGUGCGAAAGCGUGGGGAGCAAACAGGAUUAGAUACCCUCGUAGUC
rnacentral:rRNA from 1 species